UUUCGUGUCCGAACAAGAACCUGUCAGGACUUUGACUUGGAUUAGUUUUGCUUCUUCGAUGCAGAGGGAAUUUGGAACAAGCCAGGGGAGAAUAGCAAGACCCCUGUUGAUUUUGAAGGACGGUCAAGGAAUGAGCCAUCAAAGAUCGCCAGGUUGAUCCUCUUCAACAAUUCCCCAAAUUUCCGACAUAUGUUUCUUCCCCUUUCAGGACUCCAGGAGCGGAGAGACACGGUGAAAGGCACGUCAGCGUGUCAAGUUGUUGUGUCGCCACGGUAACAGGA